GCCUCCGUAGUUCAACGGAUAGAACGUGAGCCUCCGAAGCUCAAAAUGCAGGUUCAAUUCCUACUGGAGGCA
rnacentral:tRNA from 2 species